AAUCAUCCACCAUUAUUGAUGUUAACAAAGUGGUUUGGUGGGACAGUGGUAACGGUCUUUCUACCACCGAUACAUGUGUACACUAUUACAAAGCGUUUGGACUCAGGGAGCUUUCUUGCAGUUCGGGCAUAUCCCAAGUACUCUGUGAAGCUCCUGCAAAAUUGUAUAAAGUUUCACGAGACUUUGCACUGAUCUCGAAGCCUGAUGGGUCUCCAUUGAGAGGAUACUGUCUAAAGGGUUAUAUCGCGUUGUCCGCAACAGUGAAGAAUUUAGUGGAGUGUGCUGGAAAAUGUCUUGCCCAUGAUCAGUGUCAAUCCUUCAAUUGGCAACACCAAGAUGGCCGCUGUGAGAUCAAUCGUAAUACGUCAUCCACAGCUGGUGAGACCUCAAUGGAGGCACGUCAUGGAUGCAAUUACUUUGAGCCUGUUCAAUAGGGAGAUCUCAUCCUGAAGAAAAGUUCGUAGUAAAAAUAGCAACAACAACAAAAAAUGAUAAAAAACAAUGGUGACGAUUUGAGGAAAAUCCAUUAAAGAUUAAGAAUUUAAAACUUCAAGUUUUGCCCUAUAUGUUUUGUAAUAUAUAAUGCAUGAAGUUCAAUUAUUUAAUGGUUCGUUGUUUUUUAUUUUUGUUUCUUUUUAGGAAUGGGUGUUAAAAAAUGGGUGUGAUUUUUCUAUCGUUAUAGCUGACGGUAAAGUCAAACCAUCCUUGAUUUUCUGCAAAAAUGACGUGUCAUUAAAUUUUCUACCGUACGAUAUGUCAAACCUGCUCGCAUAUGACGUCACAAAUAAAAUUAUUAAAAUUCUAAUAGCCUCUUUUAUUCUUUGGUGGAUUUUCGUCAAACUUUCGGCAAUAUUUUUUUUACUUUUCUUUAAUUUUACAAUAAACUAUUUUGUCAGUGUAAACUUUCUCUUUUACGACGCUCUCUCAUUCCUGUUCAUGCGCAGUAAUUAAGGCAGAUUUCCCGAAAUCAGAUGAUAAUAUCGCAACAUUUAUUUAUCUAUUUAUUUUUAUUUUGUUUAUAAGAACAUAUUUAUGCAGGUACAAAUAUCAGCGAAAAGCUGUUUUUCAUCAAUGACCUGAUAAAAACAGGAUUACGAUUCAACAAAUAACAUCAAUAUCAUACUGUUAUAAAAUAAAGUUCUGAGUUAUAAUUUUGGCAAUGCUUAGUAACAUAAAUAAACAAAUAUUUUUACAUAAAUGAAUGAACAUAAAAAUGAAUAAAGUGUUAAGGUUAUCACAACGGAAAAAAUUAGAUUUAAACCACAAAUCGUAUUAUUUAUUUACUGAUAUAAACCACUGAAAUGAUCAAGUAAUUGAUUAAAUGGGGGCGCUAUAUAUUAUAAGAAAUAUAAAUUUGAAUGAAAAAACAUGGGUAACAAAAUCUAAAGCUACCUAAUAUUAAAUUCGGGUGAAUAUAAUUUUGGUGUUAAAAAGUAUUUGUGUUGAAUAAUGCUGAAAUUUUGAAAUAAAUCGGGCUACAAUAAGAAAAGUACUGCAAAUCUCAAACAGGCAAUUCGGUGAAGCAGAUCGUGACAUGUAUCAAUGGGACAAAUCUGUUAUUUGUCGUUUACUUAUUUAUCAGCAAAUUGGUGUUCUAUUUUUUUCUUUCACCAUUUCUCCCGCAGGCAUAUACCACAGAUUGCGUAUUGCUAUUUCCUUCAUAAAUGUGAUUCUGUAUAAGUAAAGCUAUUUAAGAAGAAUGACUUUUUAGUAAAAAGUAUUGGAGUUGAUUUGAAUAAAUUCCGAUCAACCAUAACAUAGCACUGAAAAUCUCAUUAAAAUCGCGCGGAUGUAAGAAAAGAAAGUUAUGACAUUUUUAAAUUUCGUUAAUUUCACAAACAGUUUUGUACCACCUGGUCGGUAUGCAAAUGGGGGAACUGAUGAGAUCGCCCACUCACUAUUUCUUUUGUAUUUUAUUAUAAUGAAAUAUGAAAUGUUUUCAUUUUCUCCUCAUUGUCCUAUGAAACGAAGUUUUAUUCCCUCAAACAUGUGGAAUUACCAUUGUUUUAACAUUUUAUAUUUCAGGCAAGUUGGGCCUUAUUGUCAAGUCUGUAAAAAGUGAAAUAUUGUAUAAUUAAAACAAUAAAAAAAAAGAAAAUAGUGAGUUAGGGACAUCUUCGACUCUUUCAUUUGCAUGUCAUUGAGUUGUGCAUAUAACUGUUUUGUGAAAAAUAAGCGAAACUUUAAAAUGUCAUAAGUUUCUUAUUUUACUUAAGAUUUUGGUGAAUUUGUCAGUGUUAUGCUUGUUUGAUCUUUCUCUAUUGAUUCAACGCAAGAUUUUUCUGGGGUGGACUUGACCUGUAAGAUAGGAUACUAUAGUUUAAAUUAGAGAGAGAGAGAUUGAGGGUUUUCAUCCUCCUUUUUUGCCGUUUUUAUCUAUUUUCCUUAAUGAAUGUUGCAUGUUCAUUUAUUAUCAUUAUUUGAUUUGAAAUAAAAUUCUUGAGUCUUGAA